rnacentral:rRNA from 1 species
CAGUGGGGAAUAUUGGACAAUGGGGGCAACCCUGAUCAGCCAUGCCGCGUGUGUGAAGAAGGCCUUCGGGUUGUAAAGCUCUUUUUGUGGGGAGAAAAGUGAUUCUACUAGUACGUGAGUUAAGUGACGUUACCCACAGAGAACGCACCGGCUAACUACAUG